CCUGUGGACCCAUUAGAGCUGCGCUCCAGUCCAGAGAUGAGACGCCACGGCGCUGAUUUACUAUUCAGAGGUUAUUCAUCGCCUGUGGAUAAAAAGACAAUUGAAUUAUGCUGUUGGAGGAGCAAAGACUGGGACCGAACAGUUCAGGAUGGACGAUCUGCGUGAACUGAGAUGGAAAGACAAGAGAGCAGACAGACAGAAAUGUCUGAUCCUUCUGAUUGCUCCAGGCGACUUCCUGCUUCUCUGAUCAGCUUUUUGAGUCGAUGAAAAACAGAGAUGGGAGCGCUGCUUGCUGUCAAGGCUGCUGAUAUUUACUGAGAUGUCAACACAAAGCUCAAGGUCACUGGGCACACUGAACUGAAACUACUCAGCAACAAUCUCUCAUUUUGAGGACCUUAUCCUCUGUGGACCUGUUGCCAUGGAAACAGCAGCAAGGAGAAGACACAUGACCUUGUGUGGGAGUCAUAGUUACAGAGUUACAGACUUUUAUCUGUCCACUUUAAGGAUAUAGUCUAAUAGUUAACACUCUGGUAUCACCCAGCGGGGGAUUCAUUUUCUCCUCCACGUCUGAUUCCUGCUGCUACUGUUACUAAAACCCAUCACAUGUCGACUGUUAACAGAGAAAAGAAACUGUUGGAGGCGCCGUGGAUGCAGAAGAGUCCCGUGACUGUUAACAUUUAAAGUUGGGCUGAAUUAACCCUGCAGCUCCUUCAGGCUGCAUUAGUCCAUAAUUACAUGGUUUCAUGUUUUCCCUUCGCUCACAUUUUGCCUCGUAAUGGUUUACUUCUGCAAAUAUUUUAGUCCAGCUGGCGCGAGAGUGUAACUGUAGAAGGUGAGCGCUUUCUCGUCUGCUCAUGAACAUCUGAGAGAAACCCCAACACGGCGUAAUAAAGCCAAGAAGAGACACGAUCAGAGAGAAUAACAUGUCAGGAUUAGAAAUAAGAGAGAAAUGUUGUCGUAAAAUCUGUUUCAAGGCAUUUUCUUUAUUUGC